ensembl:lncRNA
GGGUUUGAUCCCUGGUCAGGAAAAUAAGGUCCCACGUGCCUCUCGGCCACAAAACCGAAACAUAAAGCAGAAGCAAUAUUGUAACAAAUUCAACAAGUCUUUUAAAAUGGUCCACGCCAAGAAAAGGAAAUCUUAAACACAACCCAUGGGAAAGCAAUGGCCCCUUAGGGCGUCCAGAGCGACUGCCCUGCCUGGCCCGGGUCACCUGCCCUGCACGUCACUGUAGCGGCAGCAGGGGGCAGGGCUGCACCGCCUGCUGGAGCUCGCGCUCAGGCCACCCAUGGCUGCUGGAAGCCCAUCAAAACCGCGGAAGGUUCCCUGCGGUCUCCUUGGGCAUCCCCACCCCUCCUCAGAGCCUUCACUGGCAUCAAGACCUAUGAAUCAAGGAGAGAGGAAGUGGGUCAGACAAGCACGGCUGCGUGGGUGUGUACAGCAGGUGAAUAUGAAAACCAGCUUGUUAGGUCCCAUGAGAACAUCUUGAGAUUUUGAUUGUGUUGUGAUCAUUCACAGAUCCAGUCAGAUCCACCCAGGCUGACCAGACCCAAAAUGCUGCUGCGCUUUGUCUUUCCUGCCAUCUGCCCACCACCGGGGAAAGUAUGAAAGCGUUGGUCGUUCAGUUGUGUCCGACUCUCUGCAACACCAUGGACUGUAGCCUGCCAGGCUCCUCUGUUCGUUUCCCAGCCACACAGCAUGCGGGAUCUCAGUUCCUUACCAGGAAUCGAACCGCGUUCUCUGCAGUGAAAGCACAGAGUUUUAACCACUGGGCCGCCGGGGAAGUCCCAGGAAAGUUGUGCUUGUUGACUGCCUUCAUCCAAUCCCCUUCCAACUCCCCACGUUUGGUUAACCCCAAAUCUGCUCUCCUCUCUGAGUCUGUUUAUGUGUUUGUUUUGGAAAUAUAACUGACCUCCAGCACUGUGUUGGUUCCUGUUACACAACGUGGCGCUUCCUUAUUUCCAGGCGUUUCAAAAUGAUCACCGCAGACAGUGUGGCUGCGCCAUGUCACCCGACACGGGCGUUACAUAAAUACUGACCGUGUUCCCCACACUGCGCGUCUCACCCCCAUGACUCAGCUAUUCUGCAAUGGAAAAUGUGUGUCUCUUCGUCUCCCUCACCUGUAUUUCUCUUCCCCAUCCCCAUCCCUGUUAUCUCAUUUUAAACUCAUCCAGCUUUUGUUUCCCCGCUGGAAGGUCGGCCCUAUGAAGGCAGGAAACUUGUCUGUCC